rnacentral:tRNA from 1 species
AGGCGUAUAGCUCAGCUGGUAGAGCGGCGGUCUCCAAAACCGCAGGUCGUGGGUUCAAAGCCUACUGCGCCUG